GCGAGGCCUUCCUACAGUCAUCACGAGUAACCAUGCCUGCUGCCUUAAGAGUUGUUAAAUCACUGAAUCCUCCAUCUGACCAGUCGGUUGAGUGUCUGCCUUCAGUUGAUUCACAUCAGCCUGAUCCUUAUCCAGAGGAGAAGCAGAAUGACAUCAUUCACAGUAU